rnacentral:rRNA from 1 species
UUAAGCGACCAAGCGUACACGGUGGAUGCCCUGGCAGUCAGAGGCGAUGAAGGACGUGCUAAUCUGCGAUAAGCGCCGGUAAGGUGAUAUGAACCGUUAUAACCGGCGAUUUCCGAAUGGGGAAACCCAGUGUGAUUCGUCACACUAUCAUUAACUGAAUCCAUAGGUUAAUGAAGCGAACCGGGGGAACUGAAACAUCUAAGUACCCCGAGGAAAAGAAAUCAACCGAGAUUCCCCCAGUAGCGGCGAGCGAACGGGGAGGAGCCCAGAGCCUGAAUCAGCAUGUGUGUUAGUGGAAGCGUCUGGAAAGGCGCGCGAUACAGGGUGACAGCCCCGUACACAAAAGCGCAUAUGUUGUGAGCUCGAUGAGUAGGGCGGGACACGUGGUAUCCUGUCUGAAUAUGGGGGGACCAUCCUCCAAGGCUAAAUACUCCUGACUGACCGAUAGUGAACCAGUACCGUGAGGGAAAGGCGAAAAGAACCCCGGCGAGGGGAGUGAAACAGAACCUGAAACCGUGUACGUACAAGCAGUGGGAGCACAGGUUUACCUGUGUGACUGCGUACCUUUUGUAUAAUGGGUCAGCGACUUAUAUUCUGUAGCAAGGUUAACCGUAUAGGGGAGCCGAAGGGAAACCGAGUCUUAACCGGGCGUUAAGUUGCAGGGUAUAGACCCGAAACCCGGUGAUCUAGCCAUGGGCAGGUUGAAGGUUGGGUAACACUAACUGGAGGACCGAACCGACUAAUGUUGAAAAAUUAGCGGAUGACCUGUGGCUGGGGGUGAAAGGCCAAUCAAACCGGGAGAUAGCUGGUUCUCCCCGAAAGCUAUUUAGGUAGCGCCUCGUGAACUCAUCUCCGGGGGUAGAGCACUGUUUCGGCUAGGGGGCCAUCCGGCUUACCAACCCGAUGCAAACUGCGAAUACCGGAGAAUGUUAUCACGGGAGACACACGGCGGGUGCUAACGUCCGUCGUGAAGAGGGAAACAACCCAGACCGCCAGCUAAGGUCCCAAAGUCAUGGUUAAGUGGGAAACGAUGUGGGAAGGCCCAGACAGCCAGGAUGUUGGCUUAGAAGCAGCCAUCAUUUAAAGAAAGCGUAAUAGCUCACUGGUCGAGUCGGCCUGCGCGGAAGAUGUAACGGGGCUAAACCAUGCACCGAAGCUGCGGCAGCGACGCUUAUGCGUUGUUGGGUAGGGGAGCGUUCUGUAAGCCUGCGAAGGUGGCCUGUGAGGGUUGCUGGAGGUAUCAGAAGUGCGAAUGCUGACAUAAGUAACGAUAAAGCGGGUGAAAAGCCCGCUCGCCGGAAGACCAAGGGUUCCUGUCCAACGUUAAUCGGGGCAGGGUGAGUCGACCCCUAAGGCGAGGCCGAAAGGCGUAGUCGAUGGGAAACGGGUUAAUAUUCCCGUACUUGGUGUUACUGCGAAGGGGGGACGGAGAAGGCUAUGUUGGCCGGGCGACGGUUGUCCCGGUUUAAGCAUGUAGGCGGAGGUUCCAGGUAAAUCCGGUACCUUAUUAACGCUGAGGUGUGAUGACGAGGCACUACGGUGCUGAAGCAACAAAUGCCCUGCUUCCAGGAAAAGCCUCUAAGCAUCAGGUAACAUCAAAUCGUACCCCAAACCGACACAGGUGGUCAGGUAGAGAAUACCAAGGCGCUUGAGAGAACUCGGGUGAAGGAACUAGGCAAAAUGGUGCCGUAACUUCGGGAGAAGGCACGCUGACACGUAGGUGAAGUGGUUUACCCAUGGAGCUGAAGUCAGUCGAAGAUACCAGCUGGCUGCAACUGUUUAUUAAAAACACAGCACUGUGCAAACACGAAAGUGGACGUAUACGGUGUGACGCCUGCCCGGUGCCGGAAGGUUAAUUGAUGGGGUCAGCGCAAGCGAAGCUCCUGAUCGAAGCCCCGGUAAACGGCGGCCGUAACUAUAACGGUCCUAAGGUAGCGAAAUUCCUUGUCGGGUAAGUUCCGACCUGCACGAAUGGCGUAAUGAUGGCCAGGCUGUCUCCACCCGAGACUCAGUGAAAUUGAACUCGCUGUGAAGAUGCAGUGUACCCGCGGCAAGACGGAAAGACCCCGUGAACCUUUACUAUAGCUUGACACUGAACAUUGAGCCUUGAUGUGUAGGAUAGGUGGGAGGCUUUGAAGCGUGGACGCCAGUCUGCGUGGAGCCGACCUUGAAAUACCACCCUUUAAUGUUUGAUGUUCUAACGUGGACCCGUAAUCCGGGUUGCGGACAGUGUCUGGUGGGUAGUUUGACUGGGGCGGUCUCCUCCUAAAGAGUAACGGAGGAGCACGAAGGUUGGCUAAUCCUGGUCGGACAUCAGGAGGUUAGUGCAAUGGCAUAAGCCAGCUUGACUGCGAGCGUGACGGCGCGAGCAGGUGCGAAAGCAGGUCAUAGUGAUCCGGUGGUUCUGAAUGGAAGGGCCAUCGCUCAACGGAUAAAAGGUACUCCGGGGAUAACAGGCUGAUACCGCCCAAGAGUUCAUAUCGACGGCGGUGUUUGGCACCUCGAUGUCGGCUCAUCACAUCCUGGGGCUGAAGUAGGUCCCAAGGGUAUGGCUGUUCGCCAUUUAAAGUGGUACGCGAGCUGGGUUUAGAACGUCGUGAGACAGUUCGGUCCCUAUCUGCCGUGGGCGCUGGAGAACUGAGGGGGGCUGCUCCUAGUACGAGAGGACCGGAGUGGACGCAUCACUGGUGUUCGGGUUGUCAUGCCAAUGGCACUGCCCGGUAGCUAAAUGCGGAAGAGAUAAGUGCUGAAAGCAUCUAAGCACGAAACUUGCCCCGAGAUGAGUUUUCCCUGAGACUUUAAGUCUCCUGAAGGAACGUUGAAGACGACGACGUUGAUAGGCCGGGUGUGUAAGCGCAGCGAUGCGUUGAGCUAACCGGUACUAAUGAACCGUGAGGCUUAACCUU